UACGGAGGAUGCGAGCGUUGUUCGGAAUUACUGGGCGUAAAGCGCAUGUAGGCGGAUAUUUAAGUCAGGGGUGAAAUCCCGCAGCUCAACUGCGGAACUGCCUUUGAUACUGGGUAUCUUGAGUAUGGAAGAGGUGAGUGGAAUUCCGAGUGUAGAGGUGAAAUUCGUAGAUAUUCGGAGGAACACCAGUGGCGAAGGCGGCUCACUGGUCCAUUACUGACGCUGAGGUGCGAAAGCGUGGGGAGCAAACAGG
rnacentral:rRNA from 1 species